rnacentral:tRNA from 1 species
GCCGGAGUGUCGAAAUAGGUAUACGAACCGGUCUCAAAAACCGGCGACCGAAAGGUCAUGAGGGUUCGACUCCCUCCUCCGGCACCA